rnacentral:rRNA from 1 species
UACAGAGGUCUCAAGCGUUGUUCGGAUUCAUUGGGCGUAAAGGGUGCGUAGGCGGCGCGGUAAGUCGGGUGUGAAAUCUCGGAGCUUAACUCCGAAACUGCAUUCGAUACUGCGGUGCUUGAGGACUGGAGAGGAGACUGGAAUUCAUGGUGUAGCAGUGAAAUGCGUAGAGAUCAUGAGGAAGACCAGUGGCGAAGGCGGCAUCCUGGACCGAUACUGACGCUGAGGAGCGAAAGCCAGGGGAGCAAACGGG